UACGUAGGGUGCGAGCGUUGUCCGGAAUUAUUGGGCGUAAAGAGCUCGUAGGCGGUGUGUCACGUCGGCCGUGAAAACCUGCAGCUUAACUGUGGGCGUGCGGUCGAUACGGGCAUCACUGGAGUUCGGCAGGGGAGACUGGAAUUCCUGGUGUAGCGGUGAAAUGCGCAGAUAUCAGGAGGAACACCGGUGGCGAAGGCAGAUCUCUGGGCCGUAACUGACGCUGAGGAGCGAAAGCGUGGGGAGCGAACAGG
rnacentral:rRNA from 1 species